AUGUAUACCAAUAACAGCACCAGGCAACAAAUUUUCCUCAUAAAUUCAAUCAUGGCACAGACUCCCCAAUGCCCAUACACCAAUCCAAAUUGCGCAGCCACAAAACUCCAGUUUCCAAUCAGCAAACUAGAAUUCCAGCCCCAUCAACCUAAAACUUCCCUAACAUCCGUAUUAAACUCCGUAAUCCAACUUUUCAUCUUAAGAACACAAUAUAAGUCACUGCAAAUGAAGAUACCCCAACAAGCUACAGUCCUCCGCGGUCAAGCCUUGCUAAUGCAGCAAGCCAUCCUAAACUCAAUGAUGGCACAUGCUCUCCGAUGCCCACACACCAAUCUAAAUUGCACACCCACAAAACUCCAAUGUCCUGUCAGCAAACUAGAAAUCCAAGACCAUCACCCUUCUGCCAUCAUAAAAUACCUCAUUAUCCGGAUUAAACUUUCUAAUCCAACCUUUCAUCCGAACAACACAACAUAA
rnacentral:rRNA from 1 species